CGCAGUUUUUUUUUUUAAAUUCUUGUUGAAUAAAAUAACUUCUAUUUUUUCAUCUCAUGUUUGAAACAUUGCUUGUGUAUAUGGAUGUGUUAUGUACGUGAUUGUUUUUAUGAAAAUGCCACGAAAAGCAAGAAAGCUGUUCAGACGCCUAGGUCGCUGUUUUGAACGUUCUUUCACAAACUUUUUGAUUUGGACUUGCACUGCAAACAAUUUCGAAACUGCGGAAGAUGAUUAUUCAGAUAUUCCUGAUACAGACAAUUCUGUAUUUAGGGAUUCACGCACGAAAACCUCUGUUGAAUACACUUGAGCUUAUUGCAGUCGGAGAAACUUUAACGUUAUAUGGCAAAAAUUAUUAUGAUCCCAAUUAACAAGCAGAUACUAUUUGUUGGUUAAACGUAAAACCCGUUUAUCUAAGUAUACUUAGAAAACAAUGUUGGAUUAACUCCUAAUAUAUGGGGACCUGAAAACGAUGACAUUCUGAACCCAAAAAGACAAAAAAAAAAAAAAAAAAAAAAAAAAGAAGUAAAAUUCAAAACAAAAAAGAAUGGGGGUAUUCCUAUAUUUCUACAUUUCGUUGUACAACCUAAAGAAAACUCGGUAUGAAGGUUUUUCGACAGCAAUCAAACUGAUGCAGUAAACGAUACUCUUGUAUAGCUGUCGGAAGAGCAGACGAGAAGGGAAUACCGCUGCGUAUGGUCUAACAACCAUUUACCAGAUAUGUGUGAGGAUAAAACAGAAAGUUAGCGAGUCACAUGAGCCGAGGUGGAUGACGCUUGGGUAUAGAAAGAUCGAGAAGAACUGCUGGUAUUAUUAGAACAUAAGUAGGUGUUGUUGGAAAUGAAAUCAAGUAAACAGACAAAUGUCUGACCUACAUUUUAAGGUCAACCUGGCUUCUUGAUGUGGGUUGCGUCUUAAAUAAAGUCUGAAUAUUGAGAAUGGAUGAAAAGAGACCGUUCGCUUCCAGCCUGACACUAAAUGUAGCUUUUCGCAUAACAUAUUUGACAAGGCCACAUAUACUACUUGAAGGCUUCGUAAAAAAGACAUAGCAAGUAUUUGUGACCUUAUUUUGCAGGAUGUGAGAAACUUUUGGAAGGAAAGGUGGAACCAGCAUUCAGGCAACGACUUGGUAAAAACACUCCGAAAAGAGUGGAUUCUUUCACAAGAACAAAUGCUUUUAAAUGCUUAUAUAUAUGAACAACCUACACUUAAUAAAACCUUUCCUUCCUGA
rnacentral:lncRNA from 1 species